rnacentral:rRNA from 1 species
CCUACGGGUGGCAGCAGUGGGGGAUAUUGCACAAUGGGGGAAACCCUGAUGCAGCGACGCCGCGUGAGUGAAGAAGUCUUUCUGUAUGUAAAGCUCUAUCAGCAGGGAAGAAAAUUACAGUACCUGACCAAGACUGCCCGGCUAACUACGUUCCAGCCGCCGCGGUAAUACGUAGGGGGCAAGCGUUAUCCGGAUUUACUGGGUGUAAAGGGAGCGUAGACGGUUAUGUAAGUCUGGAGUGAAAUCCCGGGGCCCAACCCCGGGACUGCUGUGGAAACUGUGUAACUGGAGUACAGGAGGGGCAGGCGGAAUUCGUGGUGUAGCGGUGAAAUGCGUAGAUAUCAGGAGGAACACCGAUGGCGAAGGCGGCCUGCUGGACUGAAACUGACGUUGAGGCUCGAAAGCGUGGGGAGCAAACAGGAUUAGAUACCCUAGUAGUC